AGAACUUUUGUGUGUUCGCUGCAAGACUUUCCUACGUUUUACUUGUAUUGUUUUGUUCUCAGGUCAGAGCAUUAUGCGACAAGGCAUAAAAUAUGCAUCUCAAAGACUAGAUACAUUUGCAUGUGUUAGGCAAAAUGGUUGAACAAGCAAUUGAGCAAAUUAUGGCCUUUUAUUGCAGAGGUGCAUACUUUGGCUUUCUGUUCCAGUGUUUUGGAUUCUCUGGCGGUUGAAUUGAAAGCAUCAAAGGACUUCUCUAAGUUAUAUUCAGGCGUUGCAAUACUUUGGCUUCACAUAAGCUUGAACCAGCCCUCUGUUGUAUAUUGUUUCUUCUUUUUUUUGAUCUUUUUCCUUUGAUUAAUGAGAGGUGAUGAUGAAUUGACAUUCUUUUCUCACGAGGAUGAAUUUUGUUUUAGAAAUUGUAAUAUUUUGUGUGUUUGUAUGUGUUAUUUUUAUGUAUUAAAUUACAUAUUGAAUCAAUGUUUAUGUAUUAAAUUUAAAUUCAUUAAUUUUUA